UACGUAGGGUGCGAGCGUUGUCCGGAAUUAUUGGGCGUAAAGAGCUUGUAGGCGGUUUGUCGCGUCUGCCGUGAAAAUCCGGGGCUCAACCCCGGACUUGCGGUGGGUACGGGCAGGACUAGAGUGUGGUAGGGGAGACUGGAAUUCCUGGUGUAGCGGUGAAAUGCGCAGAUAUCAGGAGGAACACCGAUGGCGAAGGCAGGUCUCUGGGCCACUACUGACGCUGAGAAGCGAAAGCAUGGGGAGCGAACAGG
rnacentral:rRNA from 1 species